rnacentral:rRNA from 1 species
AACAGGAUUAGAUACCCUGGUAGUCCAUGCCGUAAACGGUGGGCGCUAGGUGUAGGGGUCUUCCACGACUUCUGUGCCGCAGCUAACGCAUUAAGCGCCCCGCCUGGGGAGUACGGCCGCAAGGCUAAAACUCAAAGGAAUUGACGGGGGCCCGCACAAGCGGCGGAGCAUGUGGAUUAAUUCGAUGCAACGCGAAGAACCUUACCUGGGCUUGACAUGGACCGGAUCGGCGUAGAGAUACGUUUUCCCUUGUGGUCGGUUCACAGGUGGUGCAUGGUUGUCGUCAGCUCGUGUCGUGAGAUGUUGGGUUAAGUCCCGCAACGAGCGCAACCCUUGUCUUAUGUUGCCAGCACAUUGUGGUGGGUACUCAUGAGAGACUGCCGGGGUUAACUCGGAGGAAGGUGGGGAUGACGUCAAAUCAUCAUGCCCCUUAUGUCCAGGGCUUCACACAUGCUACAAUGGUCGGUACAGCGAGUUGCCACACCGUGAGGUGGAGCUAAUCUCUUAAAGCCGGCCUCAGUUCGGAUUGGGGUCUGCAACUCGACCCCAUGAAGUCGGAGUCGCUAGUAAUCGCAGAUCAGCAACGCUGCGGUGAAUACGUUCCCGGGCCUUGUACACACCGCCCGUCACGUCAUGAAAGUUGGUAACACCCGAAGCCAGUGGCCCAACCUUUUAGGGGGGAGCUGUCGAAGGUGGGAUCGGCGAUUGGACGAAGUCGUAACAAGGUAACC